rnacentral:rRNA from 1 species
AAUAGAUACCCGGGUAGUCCACGCCCUAAACGAUGUCUACUAGUUGUCGGGGGGUAACUCCUUCGGUAACGCAGCUAACGCGUGAAGUAGACCGCCUGGGGAGUACGGUCGCAAGAUUAAACUCAAAGGAAUUGACGGGGACCCGCACAAGCGGUGGAUGAUGUGGAUUAAUUCGAUGCAACGCGAAAAACCUUACCUACCCUUGACAUGCCGCUAACGAAGCAGAGAUGCAUUAGGUGCCCGAAAGGGAAAGUGGACACAGGUGCUGCAUGGCUGUCGUCAGCUCGUGUCGUGAGAUGUUGGGUUAAGUCCCGCAACGAGCGCAACCCUUGCCAAUAGUUGCUACGAAAGGGCACUCUAUUGGGACUGCCGGUGACAAACCGGAGGAAGGUGGGGAUGACGUCAAGUCCUCAUGGCCCUUAUGGGUAGGGCUUCACACGUCAUACAAUGGCUGGUACAGAGGGUUGCCAACCCGGCGAGGGGGGAGCCAAUCCCACAAAACCAGUCGUAGUCCGGAUUGC